GACGAACGCUGGCGGCGUGCUUAACACAUGCAAGUCGAGCGGAAAGGCCCUUUCGGGGGUACUCGAGCGGCGAACGGGUGAGUAACACGUGAGUAAUCUGCCCUGGACUCUGGGAUAGCCACCGGAAACGGUGAUUAAUACCGGAUACAACCACUAUCCGCAUGGGUUGGUGGUGGAAAGUUUUUUCGGUCCAGGAUGUGCUCGCGGCCUAUCAGCUUGUUGGUGAGGUAAUGGCUCACCAAGGCUUUGACGGGUAGCCGGCCUGAGAGGGUGACCGGUCACACUGGGACUGAGACACGGCCCAGACUCCUACGGGAGGCAGCAGUGGGGAAUAUUGGACAAUGGGCGGAAGCCUGAUCCAGCAACGCCGCGUGAGGGAUGACGGCCUUCGGGUUGUAAACCUCUUUCAGUACCGACGAAGCGCAAGUGACGGUAGGUACAGAAGAAGGACCGGCCAACUACGUGCCAGCCGCCGCCGUAAGAC
rnacentral:rRNA from 1 species